CCUACGGGGGGCAGCAGUGGGGAAUAUUGGUCAAUGGGCGAAACUCUGAUCCAGCCACGUAGCGUGAAGGAUGACUGCCCUAUGGGUUGUAAACUUCGUUUGUAUGGGAGUAAAAUGUUCCACGUGUGGGAUUUUGUAUGUACCAUAUGAAUAAGGAUCGGCUAACUCCGUGCCAGCAGCCGCGGUAAUACGGAGGAUCCGAGCGUUAUCCGGAUUUAUUGGGUGUAAAGGGAGCGUAGGUGGAUUCUUAAGUCAGUUGUGAAAGUUUGCGGCUCAACCGUAAAAUUGCAGUUGAAACUGGCAGUCUUGAGUACAGUAGAGGUGGGCGGAAUUCGUGGUGUAGCGGUGAAAUGCUUAGAUAUCACGAAGAACUCCGAUGGCGAAGGCAGCUUACUGGACUGCAACUGACAUUGAGGCUCGAAAGUGUGGGUAUCAAACAGGAUUAGAUACCCGAGUAGUC
rnacentral:rRNA from 1 species